AGCAGCCGCGGUAAUUCCAGCUCCAAUAGCGUAUAUUAAAGUUGUUGCAGUUAAAAGCUCGUAGUUGAAUUUCGGGAUCAAUAUAUCGGUCGUGCCUUCGGUAUGCACUGGUAUUAUUGAUUUCUACCUUCUGACGAACUAUGAUGUCAUUAAUUUGGUGUCAUGGGGAAUCAGGACUGUUACUUUGAAAAAAUUAGAGUGUUUAAAGCAGGCACACGCUUGAAUACAUUAGCAUGGAAUAAUGAAAUAGGACGUUUGACCCUAUUUUGUUGGUUUCUAGGAUCGACGUAAUGAUUAAUAGGGAUAGUUGGGGGCAUUAGUAUUCAAUUGUCAGAGGUGAAAUUCUUGGAUUUAUUGAAGACUAACUACUGCGAAAGCAUUUGCCAAGGAUGUUUUCAUUAAUCAAGAACGAAAGUUAGGGGAUCGAAGACGAUCAGAUACCGUCGUAGU
rnacentral:rRNA from 1 species